rnacentral:rRNA from 1 species
AUUGAACGCUGGCGGCAGGCCUAACACAUGCAAGUCGAGCGGAGCGGCGGACGGGUGAGUAAUGCCUAGGAAUCUGCCUGGUAGUGGGGGAUAACGUCCGGAAACGGGCGCUAAUACCGCAUACUAUCAGAUGAGCCUAGGUCGGAUUAGCUAGUUGGUGGGGUAAAGGCCUACCAAGGCGACGAUACGUAACUGGGCCGAGAGGAUGAUCAGUCACACGAGAACUGCGACACGGUCCAGACUCCUACGUGAGGCAGCAGUGGGGAAUAGUGGACAAUGGUCGAAAGUCGGAUCCAGCCAUGCCGCGUGGGUGAAGAAGGUCUUCGGAUUGUAAAGCACUUUAAGUUGUUAGGCGUUACCAACAGAAUAAGCACCGGCUAACUUCGUGCCAGCAGCCGCGGUAAUAC